AUUAAAAGGCAACCUGGGAAGGGUGCUUCCAUCCCCCAGAGGCUUUUCAAGCGACCGGACCAAAAACGGAUGCUUGACCCGUUCCGGGGGGGGAAGUACAACCGGCAAAAGGUUGCUGGACUGACCCCCCCCGGGGGCGCUUUUGGUGGCCCAACGCCUUCCCUUUUCAACAUUUCCACGGUGCUGUUUAACUCCUUUUUUGAAAAGUCCUUUUUCAUCUUUAAGAUCAAUCAUAAAUGGGGAGGUAAUAGGUCUCCAGCCGAGUUUUUCAUCUUUAAGAUGAAAUUUAACCCCCCGAUUAGUUCAUGUUUUCCCUAAGGACCUCUACUGGGUGAAGGAGGUUCUCUGGGGGCGGGGCCUUCCGAUCUCGGUCGGGAUUUUUCGCCCUCUAGGACAGCCCGUUCCAGGGGCAUUUAAAUCCGGACCGAGCCGGGAAGCAUCCUCUCCAAAUUACAACUCGGACCCCGGAGGGUCCAGAUUUCAAAUAUGAGUUCUUGCCGCUUCACUUUCCGUUAAAGAGGCAAUCCGGGUGGGUUUCUUUUUUGGAAGUAAAAAUCGUAACAAGGUUUCCGUAGGUGAACCUGCGGAAGGAUCAUUACUGAGUGCGGACCCCUCGCGGGUCCAACCUCCCACCCGUGUCUCUUGAAUACCCUGUUGCUUUGGCGGGCCCACCGGGUCGCCCCGGUCGCCGGGGGGCACUGCGCCCCCGGGCCUGCGCCCGCCAGAGCGCUCUGUGAACCCUAAUGAAGAUGGGCUGUCUGAGUGUGAUUUUGAAUUAUCAAAACUUUCAACAAUGGAUCUCUUGGUUCCGGCAUCGAUGAAGAACGCAGCGAAAUGCGAUAAGUAAUGUGAAUUGCAGAAUUCCGUGAAUCAUCGAAUCUUUGAACGCACAUUGCGCCCCCUGGCAUUCCGGGGGGCAUGCCUGUCCGAGCGUCAUUUCUGCCCUCAAGCGCGGCUUGUGUGUUGGGUGUGGUCCCCCCGGUGUUGGGGGGACCUGCCCGAAAGGCAGCGGCGACGUCCCGUCUAGGUCCUCGAGCGUAUGGGGCUUUGUCACCCGCUCGGGAGGGGCCUGCGGGCGUUGGCCACCCACGAUAUUUUUUUACCGUUGACCUCGGAUCAGGUAGGAGUUACCCGCUGAACUUAAGCAUAUCAAUAAGCGGAGGAAAAGAAACCAACCGGGAUUGCCUCAGUAACGGCGAGUGAAGCGGCAAGAGCUCAAAUUUGAAAUCUGGCCCCUCCGGGGUCCGAGUUGUAAUUUGGAGAGGAUGCUUCGGGCUCGGUCCCCAUCUAAGUGCCCCUGGAACGGGCUGUCAUAGAGGGUGAGAAUCCCGUAUGGGAUGGGCGGCCGUGCCCGUGUGAAGCUCCUUCGACGAGUCGAGUUGUUUGGGAAUGCAGCUCUAAGCGGGUGGUAAAUUUCAUCUAAAGCUAAAUACUGGCCGGAGACCGAUAGCGCACAAGUAGAGUGAUCGAAAGAUGAAAAGCACUUUGAAAAGAGAGUUAAACAGCACGUGAAAUUGUUGAAAGGGAAGCGUUGGCCACCAGACGCGCCCGGGGGGGCUCAGCCGGCACGUGUGCCGGUGUACUCCCCCCCGGACGGGUCAGCAUCGGUUUGGGCGGUCGCUGAAAGGCUCUGGGAAUGUAGCACCCUCCGGGGUGCCUUAUAGCCCAGGGUGUCAUGCGGCCCGCCUGGACCGAGGUUCCGGCUUCCGCGAGGAUGCUGGCGUAAUGGUGGUCAACGGCCCGUCUUGAAACCCGGACCAAGGAGUCUAACAUCUAUUGCAAGUGUUCGGGUGUCAAACCCGUCCCGCCA
rnacentral:sRNA from 1 species